rnacentral:SRP_RNA from 2 species
GCCGGGCGUGGUGGAGGGCGCCUGUAGUCCCAGCUACUCAGGAGGCUGAGACAGGAGAAUUGCUUGAACCCAGGAGGCGGAGGUUGCAGUGAGCCAAGAUUGUGCCACUGCACUCCAGCCUGGGAGACAGAGCAAGACUCUGUCUCAA